CUCUCUCUCUCUCUCUCUCUCUCUCUCUCUAUCUAUCUAUCUAUCUAUCCAUUUUCUUUCUCACCCCCUUAUUACUAUCGUUAUCAGUAAUAUUUGUAAUACUGAUAACCAUAUCUUAUUACGCAGAAGAAAACAUCUCUCCCAACACCACUUCUGCAGAUAAGUUACAAACCUGAAGCCGUGUACGUAUGGUGAUGUUACAAGCAGGUACACACGACACGAGAUUUCUACAGCGCCUGCCAACGACAUCCUUAGAUUGUGUUUCUCGAGUUCUACCCCGACCCUUCUACACAUGUUUUAAUUUUAACACGCUAAAGAAUUCAGAGAUCGGAAUGCAGUGGCUACAUCCAGCAGGAGGGACAAUAGAAAGGUUAAACGUGGCCGCAGAAUACGCUCAGCUGAGCGUUUUAACGAAGCUGACCAUCAAUACAUCAGUGCCUCUAGAUCCUUC